AGAGAGAGACAUGCGCGCAUAUCAAUAAGCGGAGGAAAAGAAACUAACUAAGGAUUCCCCUCAGUAACGGCGAGUGAAGCGGGAAGAGCUCAAAUUUGAAAUCUUCAAGGGUUUACCUUUACGAAUUGUAGGUUUAUAGAAGUGUUUUCUGUUAGUGGAGUUGGUAAAAGGUUCUUUGGAAUAGGACAUCAUAGAGGGUGAGAAUCCCGUAUUUGACCAUUCCUCCUAGCGUUGUGAUACACUUUCAACGAGUCGGAUUGUUUGGGAAUGCAGUCCAAAAUGGGUGGUAAAUUUCAUCUAAAGCUAAAUAUUGGCGAGAGACCGAUAGCGAACAAGUACCGCGAGGGAAAGAUGAAAAGAACUUUGAAAAGAGAGUUAAACAGUACGUGAAAUUGUCAAAAGGGAAGCGUUUGACACCAGUGUUGUUUAGUUGAAAAUCAAUUCAAUAGUUUUUGAUUCUAAGUAGUAUUGACUUCAUCAGCUUGCUGCUUUCUUCUCAGAAAUUAUUGAAUGCACUUUUCAGUUAACAAGUCAACAUCAAUUUCUUUUGUUGUAAAAGGGUAAGAGGAAGGUGGCUUGCGCUUCGGCUCAAGUGUUUAUAGCCUUUUAUCUCUGCAAUCGGAGAGAUUGAGGUCUGCAGCGUAGAUCCUUCGGGGUUAGAUACAUUGGUGCUAAGCUAUAGCCUUGUAUAGACAACUUGUUGACUAUGCUCAGUCAUGUAGCUUACUCGCUGAUGCUAUUUUACCUACGCUUAGGAUGUUGAUAGUCACAGCGUGUAC
rnacentral:rRNA from 1 species